AAAAGAAAAACAAGUGCGGCAUCUAAACAUUCUUGGACAAUCCUCCCGUGUCUUUUCCAUAGAACAAGAUUUCAAAGAAAGGCAUUGCAUGGUAAACUUGAUUCCCUUUAACAUUUUGAUAAUCAUACAUCUUGGAUUCUACAAAUUCUCAUCAUCUUAACCAUGUUACAUUAGAACACCCGAAAUUAAAGCAUGCAGUUGCUUCAAGAAUAAUUUGGAGGGACUAGUGUGGAAAGUAGACACAGAAAGAAAUGCCAUCAACAGUGAGGGAUCACGGGAUUGUUCGAAGGAUGGCAAGUCUUCCUCGAAGCAUAAUGGGAGGGAUUUCAAGAGCAAUGGAGGAUGGAAUGGGCUUUAUAGGAAGAGGAAGAAGAAGAAAUCAGCACACAAAUAUUCCUUUGCAGCCUCAAGACCAUCAUGUUCCACAACCACAUGGUCAAGUAGUAGUUCAAGAUGAAUGGAGUUUUCUAGAGAGUUUUGAGUAGCAAUUUGGCACCAAACACCCUUUCUUCUAUGCUUUCCGUUUCGUCGAAUCCAUGAAGUUAGCUGAGUAAGAUCACAAGUUCUUGUUCAUAUACCUCCACUCGCCUGACCACCCGUUUUCUGCAAGGAAACGCUGUGUUUGGAGCCGGUGAUCCAGUUUCUUGACGUGAAUUUUGUUUGCUGGGGUGGACUUGCGGAUAGAGGAGAGGGCUAAGCAGGAAGAAAAGAUCCGAGCUGACCGUAGGCUCAGAGAAGAACAAGAUGCUGCAUAUCUUGCAGCUUUACAAAUUGACAAGAAAAAAGACAAACCCAAUAAUUUACCUCUAAGAGAGAGGAGAGAGUUCAGAAGCUGGCGGAAGCUCACAACAACAGAAAUUAUGGGAAAUUGAUUAACAAUUCGAUGAAUGUCACUAAACAGAACAGCAAAGUGAAUGAGUUCAAUAAAGAAAAGGGAGACAAGGGAGUUGCUAGUAAAGGAAGCGAGUCUCAGCCCACACAGAUACUCAUAAGGUUUCCAAACGGUGAAAGAAGAGAGCAUACUUUCCUUUACACAAACAAAAUCCAGUCCAUUUUCUCAUACAUUGAUUCAUUAGGUUUGCCAGGGAUUGGAAACUGCUGAUUGAUAUCAAACUUUCCAAGAAGAGCUUAUGGCGUUGAUCAAAUGAGAAUGACUCUCAAAGAGGCUGGCUUGUAUCCUAAAGCUAGUGUAUUUCUGGAGCCUUUAGGAACUAGAGUCCCUUAACCCCAUGUUAAGAUGCACAUGUGCUAUUUGUCAACAUAAAUUUGAAUUUCAAUUAAUCAAAAUGAGAGCAAAAAAAUUUAUCUUAUGUGGAAUUCACUUCAGCUCUUAAAUUGAUUAAGAUUUGAAUGCAUCUCCAAAAUCUGGACUUCUUUUUAGAAGAUAGUUUGUAGACCAUUUUAACUGUUCUGGUUUUCAGGAAAAGCAUAACAAAUUUCUGAGUGCGCGGAUGCCUUAUUCUUUC